AAAGAAAUUAGCUUUUUUCUUUUCUGUGACCAGUUCUCCUUUGCCUGCAGAGGAUAGAGCGGUUUCUUCUAGAACCAGCUCUCCUCUGUUUACGGAGGAUAGGACUGCGCAUCUACUAGAAAACAUUUAACAGGUCAGCAGGUCGUUUGGGGGUGGAGCUACACAGAGCCAUCUGGAAGUCCUUGAGGCUGACUCUGCCAUCCAGAGCAUUUAGCGGCUGCAGUCCGAGGUGAUCGCACACGGCCUCCAGCAGACCUCCUCUUUCACUGAUGCUGGGUUCCCCAUGCUCCUCCUUCACCCUGUGGCUCUCUGCUGUCACCUGCU